rnacentral:sRNA from 1 species
CCAUUUAGGAGAGUAACCCAUCCCAGAUCCAGAUUCAGCUCGGCCGCCAGUAUCUCGUUCUGGCAACAACCAUGAGGGAAACAAAUCGCUGAGCGGCAAAAUUGCGACAAAUAAAUCAUUUCGAGCCGCAUAGAAACUAGAAACAAAAGACAUAAGCAGGCCAUUUCCAUUUGCCUCAAAUGACAUUGGGGCGAAAUCAAUUGAUUUGAAUUUCAAAGUAGAGCCUGCUCCAUGGCUGGCUCUCGCUCUCUGGCUGACUGGGGCUCCUCAUGGCCGCAAUCAACCACAGCCUGGGAGGGCAGCAGAGGAGCGGAGCGCAGAAGCACCAAUGCCGGGUGAUGGGUGCUGAAGAAUCAUCGUCAUGUACGCUGCCAAUCAAAGCGAAAUCAAAAUGGUGGGCAAUGCGUUGCCUGCGGUGGCAGCGGUGGAUCCGCCAGCCAUGGCGUUGACGUUAACAAACCCUACUACAAGUGCCACAAGCGAGUGGGUAUCCUUUUGAUACCCUCACAGAGACUAUUACGAUUUUACCAGAUACUGACAAUGUAGAGAAUGUUAAACCAAUAGGCUGGAUCCGGCAAGAUGGAAAAUAAUAUAACAUAAAGGCAUCUACCAUAUAUCUACAUAUCUGAAUAUAUAUGUAUGAUCAGCAGUUGGCUUAGCCUAAUCCGAUAUGUUGCUCCAAGUGAUGUUAUAGGCUUUAGGAACUGCUAUAAAUCUGGAUGCAUGAUAAUAGGAACAUUCUUUGCCCAUAGCACCAAUCAGAACUUUCGGAUGAGCGGAGUAUUCACCAUGUGGAUCGUAUUCGAAUGCGAGACAAAGAAACGAGAGGAUGCCAUGUAUUUGCAAGGAUACCCAAAGCUUCGGUGCCCGUAGGCAGAUUUUUCCUCCUGUUUUUGUUGCUGGUGCGGACUCUACAGUUGCUGUUGUCUAGGCCCAGCACGUGACAACGCCAAACGACCGCGCAUUGUAGAUUAUAAAUUGAUUCGUACAAAGCUCA